UACGUAGGGUGCGAGCGUUAAUCGGAAUUACUGGGCGUAAAGCGUGCGCAGGCGGUUCUCCAAGUCCGUUGUGAAAGCCCCGGGCUCAACCUGGGAAUGGCAGUGGAAACUAGGGGACUGGAAUCUGGCAGAGGGGGAUGGAAUUCCGCGUGUAGCAGUGAAAUGCGUAGAUAUGCGGAGGAACACCGGUGGCGAAGGCGGGUCUCUGGGCAGUAACUGACGCUGAGGAGCGAAAGCGUGGGGAGCGAACAGG
rnacentral:rRNA from 1 species